CAGUCCACGUGACUCCGGACUCUGAAGCAGCAGCUCCGGAGUGUCCCUUUGCACCUAAACUCCAGAUCACAAUAAGGGAGCGGGGCCCAGCCGCAAGCUCUCUGGUUACUGGGGUGCAGGGCGCAUGGGGAAAGCCAAGGCAGGCUCUGUCCGGAAAUCUCGGGGGAGAAGCCCAGCCGCAGCGUCCCCGGCUGCUGCCGCCCGCUCCCUCCGGGGGAAAGAGAGCAGCCGGCUCGGCGAGAAGCCCGCGGCUCCCCGGGAGAGCCCAGGCGAGCCGCCGCUGUCUCCCCCGGCCUUCUGCCUGCUCGAUCUGGGCGCGCAGAGGGAGCGCUGGCUGAAGUUUCAGGAGAGGCAAAGCCUGACUUGUGAGGAGGCAGCCAGACUCCUGCUGGACACCUUUGAGUACAGAGGCCUGGUGAAGCACACAGGAGGCUGUCACUGUGGAGCUAUCCGCUUCGAGGUUUGGGCAUCAACAGAUCUGCACAUUUUUGACUGCAAUUGCAGUAUUUGCAUAAAGAAACAGAACAGACACUUCAUUGUCCCAGCUUCACACUUCAAGCUGCUGAAGGGUGCUGAUAACGUAACAACGUACACCUUCAACACACACUGUGCUCAGCACACAUUUUGUAAGACCUGCGGCGUGCAGAGCUUUUACACCCCUCGUUCUAACCCAGAUGGUUACGGAAUAGCCCCCCACUGCCUGGAUGAGGGCACUGUGCGCAGCACCAUCAUGGAGGAGAUCAAUGGCAAAGAGUGGGAGAAGGCAAUGAAGGAACAUAAGACCAUCAGGAACAUGUCAAAACCAUGAUACAGCCUCAGUGCACCAAAGUGCUCAGCUUGGAGCACUGCCAUUGGCAGGCCAUCAUGUAACCUCUAGUUCAAGCUCUCCUGUGCCAAGCUGUUCAGGAAAAGACAAAGUGAAUUGAUCACCAUGAAGCGUGAAAACAGGAUAUAGGUGUGGCGGAACCAGAGAAGCUGGCU